GAUGAACGCUAGCUACAGGCUUAACACAUGCAAGUCGCGGGGCAGCAUUUUCUUAGCUUGCUAAGGAAGAUGGCGACCGGCGCACGGGUGAGUAACGCGUAUCCAACCUUCCCAUGUCCACGGGAUAGCCCGUCGAAAGGCGGAUUAAUACCGUAUGAGGUCACAUGCGGGCAUCUAAGUGUGACGAAAGGUUUAGCGGACAUGGAUGGGGAUGCGUCUGAUUAGCUUGUUGGCGGGGUAACGGCCCACCAAGGCAACGAUCAGUAGGGGUUCUGAGAGGAAGGUCCCCCCACAUUGGAACUGAGACACGGUCCAAACUCCUACGGGAGGCAGCAGUGAGGAAUAUUGGUCAAUGGGCGAGAGCCUGAACCAGCCAAGUAGCGUGCAGGACGACGGCCCUAUGGGUUGUAAACUGCUUUUAUAAGGGAAUAAAGUGGGUCUCGUGAGACUUUUUGCAUGUACCUUAUGAAUAAGGACCGGCUAAUUCCGUG
rnacentral:rRNA from 1 species